CCUACGGGCGGCUGCAGUGGGGAAUAUUGGACAAUGGGGGCAACCCUGAUCCAGCCAUGCCGCGUGUGUGAAGAAGGCCCUCGGGUUGUAAAGCACUUUCAGUGAGGAAGAACGCCUGGUGGUUAAUACCCAUCAGGAAAGACAUCACUCACAGAAGAAGCACCGGCUAACUCCGUGCCAGCAGCCGCGGUAAUACGAAGGGUGUGAGCGUUAAUCGGAAUUACUGGGCGUAAAGCGCGCGUAGGUGGCUUGAUAAGCCGGUUGUGAAAGCCCCGGGCUCAACCUGGGAACGGCAUCCGGAACUGUCAAGCUAGAGUGCAGGAGAGGAAGGUAGAAUUCCCGGUGUAGCGGUGAAAUGCGUAGAGAUCGGGAGGAAUACCAGUGGCGAAGGCGGCCUUCUGGACUGACACUGACACUGAGGUGCGAAAGCGUGGGUAGCAAACAGGAUUAGAUACCCUUGUAGUC
rnacentral:rRNA from 1 species